rnacentral:rRNA from 1 species
UACGGGGGGGGCAAGCGUUGUUCGGAAUUACUGGGCGUAAAGGGCUCGUAGGUGGCCAACUAAGUCAGACGUGAAAUCCCUCGGCUUAACCGGGGAACUGCGUCUGAUACUGGAUGGCUUGAGUUCGGGAGAGGGAUGCGGAAUUCCAGGUGUAGCGGUGAAAUGCGUAGAUAUCUGGAGGAACACCGGUGGCGAAGGCGGCUAC